rnacentral:rRNA from 1 species
CNCUGNNAGAGCCGANNGNUNNAANGGANAAUUCAUUCGCGUUUCGCCGCANGCNUCNANCGGUCAANUGACGGAUAAGCGUUCGCNGCUUUUCGCGCCCUCCGUUUGACGAACCGGUGACAAACGCGUGCACUUUUCUCUCGGUAGGACNUCGCGAUCCGUUGGGCGUCGGUCUACGGCUCGCGGUGGANUCCGUUCGUANGUCUCGCAACGUNNGGGCGGACCCGCGUGUCCCGGCUGACUCGCUCGACGGUAUAGGAACGGUUCGAGGCCGCUCUUCUCGCGGAGAGCGUUCGACUCGCGGCAAGCGCGCCAGAUGCGUCGGCGAUCGGACNUCACGCCGAUUUCGACCUCCGGUGACUGUUGGCCGCAAAGNUUCUCGAACAGACCUUAUCUUACACCGAUCUGCGACGCUAUANCUUUGGGUACNUUCAGGACCCGUCUUGAAACACGGACCAAGGAGUCUAGCAUGUGCGCGAGUCAUUGGGAAUCGAUAAACCUAAAGGCGCAAUGGAAGUAAAGGUCCUCCUCCUGGGGACCGAGGGAAGACGAACGGUUUACGCCGCCUUAAAAGUGGCCGUUCCGCNUUCCCGGGGCGUCUCGUUCUCNUCGCGAAAAGAAGCGCCCCAAGAACGUACNCNCUGGGACCCCAAAGAUGGUGAACUAUGCCUGGUCAGGANCAAAUCUGGGGANACCCUGGAUGAAGUCUCUACCNAUUCCGANCUUCCAAUCNAUCCUCGGAACUGGGUUUAGGGGGCAAAAANCUAUCCAACCUCC